UACGUAGGGGGCUAGCGUUGUCCGGAAUUAUUGGGCGUAAAGGGCGCGUAGGCGAUCUGACAAGUCUGGUGUGAAAGCCCACAUGUUAACUGUGGAAGUGCAUUAGAAACUGUUGGAUUUGAUGUUCAGGAGAGGAAGGCAGAAUUCCCGGUGUAGCGGUGAAAUGCGUAGAGAUCGGGAGGAAUACCAGUGGCGAAGGCGGCCUUCUGGACUGACACUGACGCUGAGGCGCGAAAGCCAGGGGAGCAAACGGG
rnacentral:rRNA from 1 species